rnacentral:rRNA from 1 species
AGAUAAUAGAUACCCAGGUAGUCCACGCCGUAAACUAUGGAUGCUAGCUGUUAUCGGUAUCGACCCCGGUAGUAGCGAAAGCUAACGCGUUAAGCAUCCCGCCUGUGGAGUACGAGCGCAAGCUUAAAACAUAAAGGAAUUGACGGGGACCCGCACAAGCGGUGGAGCGUGUUGUUUAAUUCGACGGUAAACGAAGAACCUUACCCAGGCUUGACAUCCUGCUAAGAUUUCCGAAAGGAAAUUGUGCCUUCGGGCCGCAGUGACAGGUGCUGCAUGGUCGUCGUCAGCUUGUGUCGUGAGAUGUUUGGUUAAGUCCAUCAACGAGCGCAACCCUUAUAGUCAGUUGGAUUUUUCUGGCCAGACUGCCCCGGUAACGGGGAGGAAGGAGGGGAUGAUGUCAGAUCAUUAUUGCCCUUACGUCUGGGGCUACAAACACGCUACAAUGGCCGGUACAAAGGGCAGCCAACCCGCGAGGGGGUAGCAAAUCCCAUCAAAGCCGGUCUCAGUUCGGAUUGUAGGCUGAAACUCGCCUGCAUGAAGCUGGAA